rnacentral:tRNA from 2 species
UGUUCCCUUAGUAAAAUGGAUAUUACGGAUCCCUCCUAAGGAUCAAGUGCAGGUUCGAUUCCUGCAGGGAACGU